GUGCACCCGAGAGUCCAUCGUCUCCACCUGCCGGUAAAGUGAAGAUUCCAGGGAGAUAACUUGCACAUUAGAGCAGCGGGGAGCACGAGACAGGUGGAGAUUUGGGUAAGUCUACGCUGGACAGAUUACGUGGGGUGUCAUCACCUCGGUCAAUAGAUCAUGCUCAUUCACUUGUCGGACGAUGAAGAAAUAACUUUUGAUGUAUUAAUUUUUUUCGAUGCACAAGUCAUUUGGAAGCAAUGUAAACACAGCCAGUUGUUUAUUAGACAGCUUUAACCAUUGGUGUCGUUCAUUGGUACCCUAGUCACACAUCACCAGGUCCCAUAUUGAAUAAGUACAGACCUAAAAAUUGUCAAAAGUAUCUCGAUUUCACCAAGAGCCAAAUUCGAACAACAGAACGAGAAUCGUGGAAUGCCUGGCAGGUUCUUCUCGACUUGACGAAAUCAUUAAGGGGACUAAAUCCAAUAAAGGACCGCAACCCGGGGUUCCAGUCAGAAGAAAACAUUCCCAGGAAGUUUCAGCUCGUCGGUGGCUCUCUAUUCAACGUGAAAAUACAAUGAGGGAACUGUCUGGUUUUCCUUCAUCUCCCGGGGUUAUUCUGAGCAUCGACUCCCGCUGUCGUUAGCGAUGUCUUGCUACAUCAAUGAAUCAUCGUACGAGUACAAGAAGCUACAAAAUAACCCGGGUUGGAGGAUCAUGCUGACAGUUAGUCAACGGUUGUUAGAAAUCACUAUGGCGUUGGGAUAUUAGAAGACAUUGCCUCGGGUUUUUUUAUUUAUCGUGCAUAGUAGCCGAUCACUUGAGACUAUUUUCAUGAACUGCAAUUCAUGUGAAAGAUGGAAAAAGGAAAAAGGUCGCGAAAUUUCACUCUGCGGUUCUCAAAAUUUUGCUAAUUAAAUAAUUUUAGUUGUUCUUUCGUUCUCCCUCAAGAUGAUCUAAUUCAGGUGUUUCAUAUAUUUCUGAAUAUUUUUUUUUCUUUAAAGUCGCAUCGACCACGAGGUUCUUAACGUUUUUGAGAAAAAUGAGUAUAUUUCAGUUACAUCUGGUUUCGUUCAUAUCUAAUAUAUUGUAUGUUUUCUAUUAAUUUAAGUAGUUUCGAUAUUUACUCUGUUAUCAAUGCUACACUAGCACUAUUUUCCAUUUUUCCCGCAUGGUCUAACUUCAUUUAGCUUUCUAAAUUACAGUGUUUCAAAUAUUUACAAAUGAAUUUUGCUAUAUUUUUUAUUGGUUGCAUCUGCAAAUUUUCUAGUCGUGAAAGAUCCCGUACAGUUCGAUUUAGUUAUAUUGUCAACUAACUCACGUCUUUGGUUCACAUAUUUCGGACAAUGCCCAAGAAAGGACGUGAUGAAAUUUUUGACUUGCUGCUCCCCAGGAGGACCUGGGGUCAAAAAUUGAUUAUUCCAAUUCUUUCCAGGGAGUCUGCUAAAUGUAAGUAACUAUUGUUUCUCUAGAGAGUUUCCAGUUAUUGCACCAAGUCUCAGCAGUGUCCCUGUAAUAGAGCUGGAAGAAUUCUGUCGUUUUUCCCUUCAACACUAGUUGCCUGCUCUAUAAUUUUAAUGGACGUUUCUCGCUGCUGUUCACAUUUGAAUUGAUUUCCGAAAUUGGUGAAUGAAACUUUGGACUCAUUUGAAAAAUUAUCUGUCGUUUCUCCUGCCAGUCUAUCUGCUGUCUCAUUUCGUUCUAUUCCACAAUGCGAGAGGAUUUUUCUUUUUUAUUUUAUUCAAUGUUCUCUAAUUUCGAUUAUAUUUGAUCUGAUAGUUCACAGCUCCAGUUGCAGAUUAAGAUCUCUUUAUGUUUCCUAAAUCUCUCAGACAAUCAAGCACAUCCCUGCAAUCGUAAUUGGAUGCUGAUGGGUUAUUAAACUGUUGUGGAGAUAUUUCGUAAAUUAAAACGAAGAGGGCGUGACCCAUAUAUCAUCCCCAGGGAUGAGUAUUCCACCUUGUUCAUUGUACGCUCAGCUCUCAUUAUUUACAGUUCAUACACGUAAUUUGUUCAUACAACUACAAAUAGUAAAAUAGGGGAAACAGUCGUCAUUCUUCAUUUUCAUUCUUAGAAAUUUAAUGAUAACAUCGGUUAGCCCUUGCCCCACCCUCAACCUCCAUUUCUAUGAAUAAUGAAUGUGAAAAUAGCAACAAACGUUUCAUAUCAGGUACAUGGAAACUCGUUUAUUCACGAGUUUGUGAAUCGUUGGAAUACGAAAACUUGUAAUUUCACGCAUCCGUCUUAUUCAUACAGACUCAACUCGAAAAAAAAAAAAUGUAUUCUCGAUUGUUCGAUGUGGUCUUCACGUGUACUGUUGAAUGGCAAGUAUAAGAAAACAAUGAGAGCACCACCUUUGAGCUGUAUACUUCCGUUUGCGCAAUAUCCUUCCGGUUUUUGUACCCCUUUCUGUAUUUUGCUUUUUGCGGAGUUUCUGGAGCAUUUAUUUUUACGGUUCUACGGUUUUUUCCCUUCGUGAAAAGGGGAAAACGGAACUAAAUAAUAUCGCGGAAAAAAAACAUCCAUUUUGCCCCGGGAGAAUACAAGUAUUCAUGCUAUGUGGAUUUAUUUUUCUAAGACUAUUGAUUCGAAAACGAACGAUUGUGUAAAAUUUUAUUAAUUCAUUGCAUUAACGAGUGGCCAACUUUUUCUUAACGAUGCGAUGCGACAAUUUUUUUAUAUCAGUUAUACUAAUGAAAAAUCAAAACUUUUCUCUAUUGUAAUCUUCCUUUCGGUUUCUUCGUAGAGAAUAUGGAAUAAGGGCCACGAAUGACUGAAAAAAAAACUGAAUCUGGCAAAAGCUCAAAAUAUAAAAUAAAUAAAAUAUAUCGUAUAUAAAAAAUUAUAUUUAAGAUAAUUAUAUAAAAAUAAUAGCAAACAUUGAAUCAAACAAUUAGUAUGUCGUAAAUCGUUCUUAUGAAUGAACUGGUUUGAAUAUAAUUGCGUUAAAAAAAAUCUGUUACUUAUAAAAAAAAUUUAUAAGACAUACAAAAAAAUCGACUAGAAAUUAUUGGAUAAUUUUCCCCCCCUGAAUAUUAAAUAGUCUCUGUCUAUGACAGUGUCACUGACACCGAUUUAUUCAUUUAUUUUUAGUCUCUCGAUAUCCUUUGUAUCAAGUUGAAAUAUCCAGUUAG